rnacentral:rRNA from 1 species
CCAAUAGCGUAUAUUAAAGUUGUUGCAGUUAAAAAGCUCGUAGUUGAAUUUCGGGGUCAGCAGGUCGGUCGUGCCACCGGUAUGUACUGGCCUUGCUGAUUCCUCCCUCUUGUAGAACCGUAAUGCCAUUAAGUUGGUGUUGCGGGGAAACAGGACUGUUACUUUGAAAAAAUUAGAGUGUUUAAAGCAGGCUAACGCUUGAAUACAUUAGCAUGGAAUAAUGAAAUAGGACGAUCGAUCCUAUUUUGUUGGUUUCUAGGAUUGACGUAAUGAUUAAUAGGGAUAGUUGGGGGCAUUAGUAUUCAAUUGUCAGAGGUGAAAUUCUUGGAUUUAUUGAAGACUAACUACUGCGAAAGCAUUUGCCAAGGAUGUUUUCAUUAAUCAAGAACGAAAGUUAGGGGAUCGAAGACGAUCAGAUACCGUCGUAGUCUUAACCAUAAACUAUGCCGACUAGGGAUCGGAUGAUGUUAAUUUUUUAAUGACUCAUUCGGCGCCUUACG